rnacentral:rRNA from 1 species
CUUUUUGUGAAUAUAAAAAGUCGUGCCUGCCCACUGAAAUUAGUAUUUAAUGGCCGCAGUAUUUUGACUGUGCAAAGGUAGCAUAAUAAAUAGUUUCUUAAUUGGGAACUGGAAUGAAUGGUUUGACGAAAUAAUAAUUGUCUCGUAAUUAUUGAAAUGAAUUUUACCUUUGAGUUAAAAGGCUCAAAUGAUGUUAGGGGACGAGAAGACCCUAUAGAUCUUUAUAUUUUUUUUUAAUAAUAGUUUUUAUUUGUAUUACUUGUUAUUUGAUAUAAAAUAUUUUAUUGGGGUGAUAUGGGAAAUAUAAAAACUUCUUGAUAUUUUACUUUGAUAUUUGGAUUGUAGAUCCUGUUUUAUGGAAAUUAGAUUAAGAUACCUUAGGGAUAACAGCGUGAUUUUAUUUGAAAGUUCUUAUUGACAAUGAAGAUUGCGACCUCGAUGUUGGAUUAAGAUUAUUUAUUGGUGUAGUAGUUAAUAAAAUUGGUCUGUUC